AUGGUCAUCGGCAUGGACUGGCUAGAGAGUUGUGGGCCUAUGCUCGUGGACUGGACAAAGAAAACAUUGAAAUUCCAACAGGAUGGGUGCGACGUUCAGUUGCAAGGGUUGUGUCCGGACAUUCAGCAGAUGGCACAAAUUUCAGCAGCACAGUUGGAUGAUCUAGAAAUGACCAACUCUAUCGUACACGUAGUUCUGCUCUAUACAGCGGAGCAACAAAAUGACCAGCCACCGAUUCCAGCUCGACUGCAACAAGUUUUGGACAGGUUUCAAGCAGUGUUUGAUGAGCCUUCAGAGCUUCCGAAGCAGAAACCAUGGGAUCAUGCGAUUCCCCUCAUGGCAGGCACAAAGCCAGUAAACAUCCGCCCAUAUCGAUAUACUCCGGAGCAGAAAGAUGAAAUCGAAGCCCAAGUGAAGGAAAUGCUAAAAAAAGGGCUCAUUACGCCAAGUGCCAGUCCCUUCGCGUCGCCUGUUCUGCUAGUCAAAAAGAAGGAUCUAACCUGGCGCUUCUGUGUCGACUUCAGGCAUUUGAAUGCCAUUACUAUCAAGGCGCGCUACCCCAUGCCGGUGAUAGAUGAGCUAUUGGAUGAGCUUGCCGGCUCGCGUUGGUUCUCCAAGCUAGAUCUACGCGCUGGUUACCAUCAGAUCCGUCUCCGCCCCGAGGACGAGUACAAGACAGCCUUCAAGACUCACCAAGGGCAGUUUCAGUUCCGAGUGUUGCCCUAUGGUGUGACAAGCGGACCACCUACAUUCCAAGGAGUUAUCAAUAUAGUGUUGUCCCCAUUAUUGCGCCACGGUGUGUUGGUGUUUAUGGACGACAUCCUCAUUCAUUCCGCCACCCUAGACGAGCACGAGAUUUUGUUGACGCAAGUGCUACAAUUACUCAAGGAGAAUGAACUGUUUGCCAAACGAUCCAAAUGCACCUUCGCACAACAAAAAAUCCAUUAUCUUGGUCAUGUGAUCAGCCAGCAAGGGGUGGCAACAGAUGACAGUAAGGUGGAGGCCGUCAGAGAUUGGCCAGUGCCAGACUCCGUCAAGAAAUUGCGAGGAUUCUUAGGCCUUGCGGGAUAUUACAGGAAGUUUGUGAGAAACUUUGGGGUUCUUAGCAAGCCAUUGACAGAUCUGCUACGCAAAGGAGUGGUGUUCGUGUGGACACCAACAGCUAAUGAGGCAUUCUGUGCCCUAAAACAAGCUCUGAUUGUAGCGCCGGUGCUAGCACUACCUGAUUUUGCAAAACAAUUCAUUGUCGAGACGGAUGCGAGCGCUACAGGCAUUAGCGCCGUAUUGAUGCAGGAGUUCCAUCCCAUCGCGUACCUGAGUAAGGCCUUGGCACCGAAGAACUUGGGGCUCUCCGCAUACGAGAAAGAAUGUUUGGCUUUAUUGCUGGCAAUCGACCAUUGGCGUCCGUAUUUGCAGCAUGCAGAGUUCGUCAUCCGCACUGACCAGAAAAGUUUGCUGCACCUUACCGAUCAAAGGCUCAACACACCAAUCCAGCAGCGUGCAUUCACAAAGUUAAUCGGGCUCCAGUACUCAAUUCAGUACAACGCGGGGCAGUUAAACAGAGCUGCGGAUGCACUAUCUCGUCGUGAUCAUCCUGACGAGGUGUCGGCUAUGGCAUUGUCGGUUUGCAAACCAGUGUGGUUGGAGGCUAUCAGCAGUAGCUACCACGAGGAUCUAUCGGCCAAGACCUUAAUGACACAACUAGCCGUCGAUCCCACCAGUGAGCCUGACUAUCAGUUGCAAGGAGGCAUUCUGCGUUUCAAAGGCAGAGUGUGGGUAGGGAGCCAUGAGGAAACGCAACUCCAGAUUAUCCGAGCACUACACGCUAGUGCUGCUGGGGGGCACUCUGGGUUCCAUGCCACCUACAACAGGGUCAAGAGACUGUUUGCUUGGAAGGGUUCUAAACAACAACUGAAGACUUUUGUCCAACAGUGCCUAGUAUGCCAGCGAGCAAAAACAGAGCGCAGCUCACCAGCUGGGUUGCUACAGCCACUCCCCAUUCCACAACGGCCAUGGGCGGUGAUAUCUCUGGAUUUUAUCGAAGGAUUACCCAAGUCCGGAGGCUACAAUGCAAUUUUGGUGGUGGUCGAUAAGUUUUCCAAAUACGCCCAUUUUAUCCCACUGACACACCCUUUUACAGCUCUCGACGUGGCCAAAGUGUUCAUGCAGGAGAUCUUUAAGUUGCAUGGCCUGCCGCUGGGCAUCAUAUCUGAUACCGCAUCUUCACCAGCCAAGUGUGGCAGGAAUUGUUCAAACUGUGUCGCACAGAGAUGA
rnacentral:rRNA from 1 species